rnacentral:rRNA from 1 species
ACGAACGCUGGCGGCGUGCUUCACACCUGCCAGUCGAACGGUGAAGCGCCUUCCUUUUUGGUGGGUGUGGAUGAGUGGCGAACGGGUGAGUAACACGUGAGUAACCUGCCCCCUUCUUCUGGAUAACCGCAUGAAAGUGUGGCUAAUACGGGAUAUUCUGGGUCUGUCGCAUGAUGGGUCUGGGAAAGAUAUUGUUUCGGUGGGGGAUGGGCUCGCGGCCUAUCAGCUUGUUGGUGGGGUGAUGGCCUACCAAGGCGGUGACGGGUAGCCGGCCUGAGAGGGUGGACGGUCACACUGGGACUGAGACACGGCCCAGACUCCUACGGGAGGCAGCAGUGGGGAAUAUUGCACAAUGGGCGCAAGCCUGAUGCAGCGACGCCGCGUGAGGGAUGGAGGCCUUCGGGUUGUGAACCUCUUUCGCCAGUGAAGCAGGCCUGCCUCGUUUGUGGGUGGGUUGACGGUAGCUGGAGAAGAAGCGCCGGCUAACUACGUG